rnacentral:lncRNA from 1 species
UCUGACAUCUCCGCCAAUUUUCAUAAUUUUCUGACACUGUGCAUUUUCUGCUAAUUUAUCUGCCCCGUUUCUUACAGAAAAUUCUAAAUAAUCUGUUUUCGCUCUGAUUUCAGCACAGGUCAUUCCCAACUUAUAUUUCACUUCUCUAAAUCCAAUAAAAAUAGUAUCUCAUACUAUUUUUAUUUAUUUUCAUUUUUAUAUUUAAAUUCCGAUAUGUUACAUUCCACCGCAACCUCACCGGAACCAUUUAAAUGCACACCGUAACUUCACAGUAUUAGAAGUC